rnacentral:lncRNA from 1 species
GGCAAAUCGAUGCUGAUGUCAUCCAGCAUGGCCCCAUAAAGCAAACAACCUGUCCCCAAAUCCCUUGGAGUGAAAACCUUCUUGACCAGCAAAUACUCCAAAAGAUUCACUAGAGGUUCCAGGCAUGAGACACCCUUGUCGAGAGCUAUAUUGAUGGCUUCCUUGACCACCUCAGGAUGAUACUCAGGGCUCUUCAGUUCUUCUACACAUUGAAGUGCUUCAUCUAGAAUGCGGAUGUGAAAAUACUCCUCCAGAAGAGCGACAGUCUUCUUGUGUAGCUCAUUAGGAUUA